CAAUGGCGUAUAUUAAAGUUGUUGCAGUUAAAAAGCUCGUAGUUGGAUUUCUGGCGGGAGCGACCGGUCGGCCCAAGUGGUGUGUACUAGCGUUGCGUCCGGCCAUAUUUGCGGAGAGCGCGUGUGGCAUUAAUUUGUCGUGCGCGGGACCCGCAUCGUUUACUGUGAGAAAAUUAGAGUGUUCAAAGCAGGCUUAUGCCUUGGAUAUGUUAGCAUGGAAUAAUAAGAUAAGACUUUGGCGGUCUAUUUUGUUGGUUUGCACGCCAUUGUAAUGAUUGAUAGGGACAGUUGGGGGUAUUCAUAUUUAAUUGUCAGAGGUGAAAUUCUUGGAUUUAUGAAAGAUGAACUACUGCGAAAGCAUUUACCAAGGAUGUUUUCAUUAA
rnacentral:rRNA from 1 species